rnacentral:lncRNA from 1 species
CUGAUUAUAAUCUAGUGGUGCAUAGAACACACAAUAAAAUAAUAAUUAUAAUAAUUAAAACUGUGACUAGUGCUAUAAGGGUCAAGACAAUAGAGUCUAUUUGAAAAGCAAUGUGAUACUCUUAACUUGAUUUUAUGAGUAGAGGGAGCCAAUGAAAACUUCUUUGAAGAAAAAUAGUUAUUUAAGCAAGGACCUGAGGGAUACUAUGUUAACAGGACAAAGAGAAAGCAGCAUAAGGAAUACAGGCAGAAAGAGCAGCCUAGGUGAAAGCUCUGAGGUGGAGAGAGAAGUUAGCAUGUUUGGGGAACUGAAGGUUCAUAUAGUUAGGACAGAGUGUUAGGGUGAUAAUGGCUCUAAAUACAGUUGCAGAGGUAGGCAGGGACCCUAUCUUUGCAGAGCCUUGUGGUUGUGGUAAGAAGUUUAUGUUUUAAGCAUAAUCAAAAGCUAAAAAUGAAAGUCUGAUAUGUGCAUGAGGAAUCAUAUAGACAUUAUCUUUCUACCACAGGUGGUGCCAAAAAUAAAAAGCAGAUUAAUUUUAAAUGGGAUGAUUUUAUUGAAUUGUAGACUAAAGAACUACAUAGACCAAUGCGCCAUAUUCUAUCUUGCCUUUUCUUGGCUUCCUUCUAGGAAACUCAUUAUUUUUGGCUACAGAAAAUUACCACAGCCACCCCAACCCUCAACAACCACCACCCUGAUCAGUCAGCAGUCAUUAACAUCAGGACAAGAUCCCCCACCAGCAAAAAGACUACAACUCAGAUGAUCACUGGCAUUUUUUGGUUAAGAGAUGGUUGCUUAUACCAGAAAGAAAAUGAGAACUACUAAUAAUACUUCAUUUUUAUUCAUCAAAGAGAAUAAUUACAGAACUGAAGAAGAGAGAGCAAACACGGUAAAAACAUAGUACAAACAAGAUAAAACAUACUCAAAGCAGAACAGAUGGAGGCAAGAGUCGUCAAAACUACUAAGAACCCAG